GACGAACGCUGGCGGCGUGCCUAAUACAUGCAAGUCGAACGAGAGCGACCGGUGCUUGCACUGGUCAAUCUAGUGGCGAACGGGUGAGUAACACGUGGGUAACCUGCCCAUCAGAGGGGGAUAACAUUCGGAAACGGAUGCUAAAACCGCAUAGGUUCUACAGUCGCAUGACUGAAGAAGGAAAAGAGGCUUCGGCUUCUGCUGAUGGAUGGACCCGCGGUGCAUUAGCUAGUUGGUGAGGUAACGGCUCACCAAGGCCGUGAUGCAUAGCCGACCUGAGAGGGUGAUCGGCCACAUUGGGACUGAGACACGGCCCAAACUCCUACGGGAGGCAGCAGUAGGGAAUCUUCCGCAAUGGACGCAAGUCUGACGGAGCAACGCCGCGUGAGUGAAGAAGGAUUUCGGUUCGUAAAACUCUGUUGUUAGAGAAGAACAGCGCAUAGAGUAAACUGUUAUGCGUGUGACGGAUCUAACCAGAAAGCC
rnacentral:rRNA from 1 species